rnacentral:rRNA from 1 species
AGAGUUUGAUUAUGGCUCAGGAUGAACGCCGGCGGUGUGCCUAAUACAUGCAAGUCGUACGCACUGGCCCAACUGAUUGAUGGUGCUUGCACCGGAUUGACGAUGGAUCACCAGUGAGUGGCGGACGGGUGAGUAACACGUAGGUAACCUGCCCCGGAGCGGGGGAUAACAUUUGGAAACAGAUGCUAAUACCGCAUAACAACAAAAGCCACAUGGCUUUUGUUUGAAAGAUGGCUUUGGCUAUCACUCUGGGAUGGACCUGCGGUGCAUUAGCUAGUUGGUAAGGUAACGGCUUACCAAGGCGAUGAUGCAUAGCCGAGUUGAGAGACUGAUCGGCCACAAUGGAACUGAGACACGGUCCAUACUCCUACGGGAGGCAGCAGUAGGGAAUCUUCCACAAUGGGCGCAAGCCUGAUGGAGCAACACCGCGUGAGUGAAGAAAGGUUUCGGCUC